UACGGAGGAUGCGAGCGUUAUCCGGAUUUACUGGGUGUAAAGGGAGCGUAGACGGUGAUGCAAGUCAGAAGUGAAAGCCCGGGGCUCAACCCCGGCCCGCCGUUGAAACUGGCUGGCUUGAGUUGGGGAAAGGCAGGCGGAAUGCGCGGUGUAGCGGUGAAAUGCAUAGAUAUCGCGCAGAACCCCGAUUGCGAAGGCAGCCUGCCGGCCCCACACUGACGCUGAGGCACGAAAGCGUGGGUAUCGAACAGG
rnacentral:rRNA from 1 species